CCCACCGCAGGGAGACGCAGUUGCUCCGAACAUACUAUCGUUGUUGUCAAAAUUGUGAACUACUGAACAUACUGAAGAUAAAAUAAACAAAAAAAAUGUAUCGAUAGAAAAUAGUGUGGCGGAAAUGUGAUCGAGUUCUGGCCUGCUAUUGUUAAAUAGAAGAUACAUUUGGAAGGACAUAACCUGAACGGACCCAUUCACCUUGGAAAUGGAGAAGGCUCCAAAACAACACACAAGUUCUGCCUGUAAUGGGACAACAAUCAGACAAGAGCCAGAGAAGGCUCCAAAACAACACCCGAGUUCUGCCAGUGAUGGGAUUAAAAUCAGAAAAGAGCCAGAGAAUCCUCAAAAACAAUGCACAAAAUCUGCAUGUAAUGGGACUACAAACAGUCCAAAGCCGG